rnacentral:rRNA from 1 species
AUGAACGCUAGCUACAGGCUUAACACAUGCAAGUCGAGGGGCAGCAUGAAUCAAGCUUGCUUGAUUUGAUGGCGACCGGCGCACGGGUGCGUAACACGUAUCCAAUCUACCCAUGGCUCAGGGAUAGCCUUUCGAAAGAAAGAUUAAUACCUGAUGGUUUCAUGAGCCCGCAUGGACUUAUGAAUAAAGAUUUAUCGGCGAUGGAUGAGGAUGCGUCCGAUUAGAUAGUAGGCGGGGUAACGGCCCACCUAGUCGACGAUCGGUAGGGGCUCUGAGAGGAGGAUCCCCCACAUUGGAACUGAGACACGGUCCAAACUCCUACGGGAGGCAGCAGUGAGGAAUAUUGGUCAAUGGGCGAGAGCCUGAACCAGCCAAGUAGCCGUGCAGGAUGACGGCCCUAUGGGUUGUAAACUGCUUUUAUAUAGGGAUAAAGUGACCCACGUGUGGGUUUUUGUAGGUACUAUAUGAAUAAGGACCGGCUAAUUCCGUGCCAGCCGCCGC